rnacentral:rRNA from 1 species
CAGCACCUCAAGUGGGUCAGGAUGAUUAUUGGGCCUAAAGCAUCCGUAGCCUGCUUUGUAAGUUUUCGGUUAAAUCCAUACGCUCAACGUAUGGGCUGCCGGGAAUACUGCAAAGCUAGGGAGUGGGAGAGGUAGACGGUACUCGGUAGGAAGGGGUAAAAUCCUUUGAUCUAUUGAUGACCACCUGUGGCGAAGGCGGUCUACCAGAACACGUCCGACGGUGAGGGAUGAAAGCUGGGGGAGCAAACCGGAUUAGAUACCCGGGUAGUCCCAGCUGUAAACUAUGCAAACUCGGUGAUGCAUUGGCUUGAUGCCAAUGCAGUGCCGCAGGGAAGCCGUUAAGUUUGCCGCCUGGGAAGUACGUACGCAAAGUAUG